GUUAAAAAAAACUUGUGAAUGCGACGUGGGCCUCAGGGAAUGUUCGGAGAGCAACUGUUUAGUUGUCUGAAUGUUUUUUUUCACAGUUGAAAAUAUAUUGCCUCUGAGGCAGUUGUUAAGGUCCAAUGCAGAGAACUAUUCUACGGGUGGUGGUGCAGGUGUUCAGCUUCCCCAGGAGGCCUGUGUCAGCUGUCCAAUGACUCCUCCUGUCCUCCUAACUGUUGUGUGGAGCAAUGGUGAAGGGUCAAUAGAUUUAUGGUUUUGCAAGGCAUCGUUAGUGACCACACGGAUCAGGGGGUGCGGCUGGCUGUUGGCGGCAACUGGACGAGGCACACCUGCAUUCAAUCAUCCUCCUCCAUAUAAACCUGGGCGUCUCAUCACGUCGACACCAGAUUAUUCCGUCCACUACGAACUCUCGCGUGCGUCAUCGCCCGGCUCUUCGUCCUGCCCGUUGCCAGGAUCCUCGCC
ensembl:lncRNA